rnacentral:hammerhead_ribozyme from 1 species
AUCUAGUUGACGAGUCCCAAAUAGGAUGAAAUGAACAUCCUGGCUUGAU